rnacentral:rRNA from 1 species
UACGGAGGGUGCAAGCGUUAUCCGGAUUCACUGGGUUUAAAGGGUGCGUAGGAGGGCAGGUAAGUCCGUUGUGAAAUCUCUGAGCUUAACUCGGAAACUGCCAUGGAUACUAUCCGUCUUGAAUGCGGUGGAGGUGAGCGGAAUAUGUCAUGUAGCGGUGAAAUGCUUAGAUAUGACAUAGAACACCGAUUGCGAAGGCAGCUCGCUACACCUGCAUUGACUCUGAGGCACGAAAGCGUGGGGAUCAAACAGG